UGAAAACUAAAGGAAAAACUAAUAUUUGUCGUGCAAAAAACAAAAAGAGAAAAUAUGGAGCAACUGAUGUAUUCACUUUUGGAUGAUUCCAGCAGUGAAGAGGACUGGCUGAAUGAGGAAUCUGAUUAGUAAUUAUUAUUAUAAAUUAUUAAUUUUAACUUAUCGUCUUCAAUACUCAUUUUUUAAAUGUUGGCGCCCUUUUCAGUAAGGUUUCACCAGUCCGGUUUAGGCUGUUUACUUUUGGAACUUUGAAUUUUGACAUUUUAUCGCAUUUCUGCUAAUUUUCCGUUCCCUUAUUUUUUGAGCAAACCUAAAUGGGAAUGACAUUUCGAACUGUUCUCUCUUCUGCUAGUUUUACUACUAAAAAAGUACUGGAACACAACUUUAGCUACAUGAAUUUGGCCGAGCAGAAAUGUGCAAAUUGUAAAUUUGACAUUUAAUUGGUAGGGCUAACAAGGUUGAAAAAUGUAUUGAUACAUUUCAAUGUUCGCGCGUCACAACAAAUGUAAAGAAAAGAGAUAAACUUAAAAACUAAAGUAAAACUAAUAUUUGUCGUACAAAAAACAAAAGGAGGAAAUAUGGAGCAACUGAUGUAUUCACUUUUGGAUGAUUCCAGUAGUGAAGAGGACUGCCUGAAAGAGGAAUCAGACGAAGAAAACGUAUUGGAAAACAGUGCAAAAUUAGGUUGGCUGUCUUCCCAACUUGUGGCAUUAAGUCUUCUAGCAGACUUAUAGUACGUUUAUAUAUAUGAGGGUUAACCCACUGGAUUUGGAUUUAAAUUGUCAAAUCCAUUACUUUUACUUCAAAUAAAUCCUCUCAAAGAAGGUUAACCCUACAAAAAGUUUUAACGUAAACAUGGCAUUAACAUUAACAAACAUGUCAGUUUCUCCGGGGUGGGGAUUUGAUAAAACUCCUAAAAAAACAAAUUUCUAAAUAAACAGCAUUCAAAAAUAA